rnacentral:rRNA from 1 species
UACGAAGGGGGCUAGCGUUGUUCGGAAUUACUGGGCGUAAAGCGCACGUAGGCGGAUAUUUAAGUCAGGGGUGAAAUCCCAGAGCUCAACUCUGGAACUGCCUUUGAUACUGGGUAUCUUGAGUAUGGAAGAGGUAAGUGGAAUUGCGAGUGUAGAGGUGAAAUUCGUAGAUAUUCGCAGGAACACCAGUGGCGAAGGCGGCUUACUGGUCCAUUACUGACGCUGAGGUGGCGAAAGCGUGGGGAGCAAACAGG